GUGCUCUCUUUGGCAGCACAUAUACUAAAAUUGGAAUGGUACGGAGAAGAUUAGCAUCACUCCUGUGCAAGGAUGACAUGCAAAUUUGUGAAAUAUUCUGUAGUUUU